GGAAGCGACGCGGAUGACACGCACAUGCACACCCUCUCUCUUUCUCACAUACGGAGGAGAGGAGGACAGUGAAGAAGAAGAGACAGAGAGGAGGAGAAAAAGAAGAGGAGAGGGGAAAGCGCAGAGAAAGAGAAAGAAAGAAAUCCGGGGAGAAAUGACCACUGGACGGAUGGAUUUUAUUUUCCCCGAGCUGCACAAGCCUCUGUAAGACAACAUGGGCUGCAUAGGAUCCCGGACGAUCACAGUGGAUGCGGUGCCGGUACAGAAAGAUGGAGAUCAGUUGUCCAUGGAGGACACUACUUCCAUUCUGCCUCGCCUCAAGAUGAAGCCGGCCCAGGCCUAUGGGAUCGGUGCCCUGGCUAAGUCCUCUCUGACAGGUGUGUCAGGUGUGACUCGCUCCAUGAAGGACAAAGUGACCAAGCCCACUGCCAUGGCCCAGGGUCGCGUUGCCCACAUGAUCGAGUGGCAGAGCUGGGGCACACCAUCUGUGGGGCAGAUGGGGACCGUGGGUCUUAACAACCUGCAGAGGGAAAAGGAAAGGAGGCUUGAGAGCGAUGCUUACAGUGACCUUAGUGAUGGCGAGAAGGAGGCUCGCUUUGCUGCAGGCAUCAUGCAGCAGUUUGCGAUCUCCGAGAUGACUCUGUUCGGCUGGAACUCGGUGGACGGGGAGAGUAUGGGAGCCGGCUCCAACCAGGGCAGUGUUGCUCACCUCAGUGAGGUCAACCAGGAGAGCAUCACCAGCAGAGACCAGGUUCUCCACCACUCCUCGGCGGACGUCUGGCCUCACACCUACGUCUCACAGGGCCUGUACUGCCUGUCGUCCACUGACGCCUGGGAGCCAAUCACCAGCCAGCCCUCGGGCAUGGCCUCACCUGCUGCAAGCUCCUACAUCAUGGCUGCCGGUGGCGGCAGUGGAGCAGCGGGUACACCCGGUGAGGGGUUCGAGGGGACAGUAGGCGGGUACCUACAGCAGCACCAUACUCAUUUCACCCUGCAGCAGCAGAACCAACUCCAACAGCUCCAACAACUUCACCAGUACCAGCAGCAACAGUUUCUGCAGUACCAACAAUCCCAGUCUAUGGAGCACAGGCUACAUAGUGCCUCCCAUUCCCUCCAAGCCACUCCUAACAGCACCAUCCACAGUCUCGGUCCUCCCACCCAUCCUCGGCUAGCUGACCUGUGGGGAGCUGCGCAGGUCGAGGCACACCACGUAGGCACACCUCUGCUGAAUCCAAAUGGUCGGAAUACAGACUUUGCGGACUAUACGGUGGUUUAAUAUAUUCUGACUGAGUGUGCGAGGGCACAGGGGUGUGUGACUGUAUAUACAGUCGUAGGCAAAGAGGACAGGCAUCUCCAUUCAGCCAUUGUUACAGAAUGAGUGAGACAACAAUUAUCAUCGAACUGACAGCAUGUCUUAUUAUGCAUUUAAUACUCUCUUGUUAUUGUAGGAAGCCAAGGUUUAUCUUCUUUGAUGUCAGGCAUGUGUCUUCAAAGGUGAAAAUAGUGCACUAAUCAUAGCAAUAUCACGUUGAUGUUAAUAUUCUGCACAGGAAUAGUCACUUUUUAGCCAUUUUCCAUUGCGUUUGACACUCAUCUUGGCUAAUUUGUUUUUGUCUUCUGGAUCUGGAUUUGUUUAUAUCAGCAGGCAUAUUUAGCACACAUCUGUAGUGCAGUGAAUGAUGGGAGAAACUGCCAGGGAAGUCGGCAAGGUGGAGAUGGUCGGGCAGAUGAAUGGACAGAUAGCUGACAUGGUGGGAGGAGUGGUGGAGACAGUCGGAGAGGAGCCAGAGCCCGAGUCUGAAGGCAUCCUUGAUCAGCAUGAUGAGGAAGAGGAGCUGACAAAG